rfam:Myotis brandtii contig235862, whole genome shotgun sequence.
AAAAAGUAUUAAUUGCCAAUAUAGCUGUUAAGUGCUGUGUUGUCAUUCCCCCUGCUCAAAAUAAAGUUGUUUCUUAACUAUACCUGUCUGCUAGACUCGACUCCUGUAGCAGCCAGGGACGCUUGGUCUCAUACAU